rnacentral:rRNA from 1 species
UACGAAGGGGGCUAGCGUUGCUCGGAAUUACUGGGCGUAAAGCGCACGUAGGCGGUCUUUAAAGUCGGGGGUGAAAUCCUGGAGCUCAACUCCAGAACUGCCUUCGAUACUGGAAGACUUGAGUCCGGGAGAGGUGAGUGGAACUGCGAGUGUAGAGGUGAAAUUCGUAGAUAUUCGUAAGAACACCAGUGGCGAAGGCGGCUCACUGGCCCGGUACUGACGCUGAGGUGCGAAAGCGUGGGGAGCAAACAGG